CAUAUACAUAUAUGUAUAUACUACAUAUAUAUGUUAUAGAUGAAUACAUAUUACCAAUAGAUACAGAUUUAUUUGUUCAUUUGAAAGGCACAGUUAAGAGAGGAAGAGGCAGAGGCACAGGCAGAGAGAGGGAGAGUCUUCCACCCACUAGUUUACUCCCCAAAUGUCCGCAAUGGCCGGAUCAAGGCCAAUUCAAAGCCAGGAGUCAGGAGCUUCUUUUGGGUCUCCCACGCAGAUGCAGGGGCCCAAGCACUUGGGCCACCUUCUUUUGAUUUCCCAGGCCAUAGCAGAGAGAUAGACUGGAAGUGGAGCAGCCGGGACUCGAACCGGCACCCAUAUGGGAUGCCAGUACUGUAGGCGAUGGCUUUUACCUACUAUGCCACAGCUCCGGCCCCUGUAUAUUUUUCUAAAACAUGAAAAUUAACUGCCUUCUGAAAGCAUUCAGUUUUUUUGGUCUAGAAGUAGUUAAUGUAAUGGUCCUUAAGGAUUUUUCUGGAAGCUCCACUUUUCCCUUCUUGUUAAACAUAUGUGAAGCUGCAGAUUGCCCAGCCUUUGAGAACAGGUGGUAAAUCAGUGAUGACCGAGGCAGUACACAAUGCUUAACUGUGCAGAGUCAACCCCUCCAUCAUGUAUUUGGGACUAUUCAUUAGAUGGAAAAUAUGUUUUAUUUAUGGAUGAACCCAUUCAAUGUAAUUCAAGAUUAUUGAUUGAAAGGUAGACAGGAGAUCACUUGCUGAGAGAGUUUUGUAUCAUUUAAUUGUCUAACAGUCCUUUCAGGGAACAGAUUUUUUUCCUAUAGCACAGAUUCAUAAAAUGAAGAUUACUUGCCAAAGAUCAGGCAUUUUGGUAGGAGCAAGAGCAAGACUAUCAUCCAGGCUUAUGGGAUGUGCCUCCCCCGGAUUACUGUGCUGAAACCUCUAAGAGGAAGCCCUCAGGAGGUGUUCCAAGAAUAAAGCAAACUACUGUUCUGCUCUCCUUUGAGGCGUCGCUCAUGCCACACGGUUCAGAUCCAGUUGCCGAGGGAGAGGACGGCAUCACACAGUUCAAUUGGUCGUUCUGCAACUUCAGAAUCAGAAAACAAAGUAGAAUCCCAUUAUGGAUUUGGAAGCAGAGUGUUUCCUCCAAGCAGCUGGUUGCUUUCUAAGGAAUCUAGUCAAGAGUCUCCAUGAAUUCACUGUAAGUAAAGAUGAUAUUUGCUGGUUUUGGCCAGAAUGAUGACUGCAGUGGCAAUGUGGACAUGCAUUUAGAUGGAGCUCCUUCUAGGUCUUUCUAAAGGUCUGGAUACAGACCACCUCAAGAAGAAGGCAGCAGAAUUGGUCUCCUGCUGUCUCCCAUUGGGAGGUUGUCCUCUUGAAAGGGGGAAAUUUCGACACAUGCCAACUCAUGUGUCCAGCGGGAACCUUGGGUACAUGAGCCUUUUCCUUCUACUUUGAAAAUAUAGUUGCUCUUUAAAGUCUCUCUUCCACAUAACAAAAAAGCAAGACAGAUAAAGGUUCAUGGGGAAAACUGAAUUCUGUCUGUUUCACAUCUUCUGUCCAGAAUCCCCUGGGAGAGGGUUUGAGAUUCCCCUUGCUCUACCAGGGGGACACACUCCUGGCUGUGUGGUAGUGGGAGAAGAGGCACUUCCUCUGUACUGUGAGAGAGGACAGUACAUGACUCCAGGGAGCGAUUUUUGCUGUCUGGUCUGAACUAGCAUGUAGUGCCUCCACAGAACCUAGGGAAGCGUGCACUUAGCCUCAGUAUUUCUUAUCUUCCCAGUCUUUUCUGUUGAUUGGGUGACUUGGAUUUUUUUUUUAAGAUUUAUUUAUUCAUUUGAAAGUCAGAGUUACAGAGGAGGAGGGAGAGACAGAUCUUCCAUUUGCUGGUUCACUCCCUGGAUGGCCACAACGGCUAGGGUUGGGCCAGACCAAAGCCAGAAGCCAGAAUCAUCUUUUGGGCCUCCCACAUGGGUGCAGGGGCCCACACACAUGGGUCGUCUUCCACUGCUUUUCUCAGGCCAUAGCAUAGAGCAGGAUCAGAAGUGGAGCAGCCGGGACAUGAAUGUGCGCCCAUGUGGGAUGCCAGCACUGCUACGCCAUGACACCCAUCCCUAAAUUUUGUUGUUUUAAUAGUUUUGUUUUGUUUUAUUUAUUGUGGUGGGGGGGAGAGAUAGAGAGAAUGAGAAUGAAUCAUUUCCAGAUACUGAUUCAUUCCCCCAAAUAUUUACAAAUGCUGGAGUUGGGCCAGACUGAAGCCAGCAGCCAGGAGCCAGAAGCCCCAUCUGUGUCUCCCAUGUGGGUGGCAAGGAUCCAAGCACUUGAGCCAUCACCUGCUGUCCCCAAGGAUGCACAUUAGCAGAAAGCUGGAGUUGGAAGUGGAGCAGGGACUUGAAUCCAGGAAUUGUGAUAUGGAAUGUGGGUGCACCAAGCUGCGUCCUGACCAUCAGGUCAAAUUCCUACCUCUGUGACUUAAUUGUUAAAGCCCAGUGCAUGCAGUGCUAGCAUGGGAAGGGCCAAUAGAUAUAAGCUAAUGUAGCCUCCAGACUGAAUAAUAAGAAAUUGAGGCUCAGAGAAAUUGAGCCUAAAAGAACCAAGAUGUCUCAUGAUUUCUUUUACAACGCGUCCUAGCUUCUGUGUUUGAUUAGGGACUUUUGUGAAUGCAUCCCAAGGAUGGCGGCUACUCUCAAGGCAGAAGGAAAUGAUGCAUGACAAUGAUGCAUGAGCGCUGUGCACCCUGGUGCUCUUCACUAUCAAGAGCACCAUCUCCACAGCUAAUAACACACUGAUUAUCCACUGCACAACUUCGGAAAGAAUUGCGCAAGUUGAUUCUUCAGCAAUUGCUUUCUAGACUUCAGUGAGCUUCACACAAUGCCUUGUUGUAAGUCUUGCCCCAUAGCUCUUGCUCCACACUUCAACCCUUGUUUGGGUUCCUUUGUUCAUAGACAUCUGAUGAAUCUUUUAUACUGGGAAUAGGACGGAUGCCAGAAUUAUUGCCUUGACUUGGUAGCUGGACAGAAGAAGGCUUUCUCCGAUGUGGCAAGUCUUCAGAAUUUUGAAUUUGCACAAAAGCAAAGGUUUUUAUUUUUUUUUCAAAAUGCCUUUAAAAAGAAUUUCAAGAGAUGAUUUGUGAAUUUAUUUCUAUAUUUCAGCGAUGCUCAACCAGGGGUAAAUUUGCUUCCCAAAUGGCACUUGGCAAUGUCUAGGAGCAUUUUGGUAGUCAUGACUGCUGUGCCGGCGCCACAGCUCACUAGGCUAAUCCUCCUCCUGUGGCACCCGCAUCCUGGGUUCUAGUCCCGGUUGGGGUGCCAGAUUCUGUCCCUGUUGCUCCUCUUCCAGUCCAGCUCUCUGCUGUGGCCCAGAAGGGCAGUGGAGGAUGGCCCAAGUGCUUGGGCCCUGCACCCGCAUGGGAGACCAGGAGAAGCACCUGGCUCCUGGCUUCGGAUUGGCGCAGAAGUGCCAGCUGCAGCGACCAUUUGGGGGGUGAACCAACAGAAAAGGAAGACCUUUCUCUCUGUCUCUCUCUCUCUCUCUCACUAACUCUGCUUGUCAAAAAAAAAAAAAAAAAAAAAAAAAAAAAGAAUGAAACACAGAGUUGACUCAAGGAGGUUUUGUUGGGGAGCAAAGAGAAUGGUCACAAUCUGGGCUACACACGCACUGGCUGGAGUGGCCCCUGGAGUGUUCAGCGAAAAAAGCAAGGAUGCAGCUUUCUUGAGGAAGGAGAAAACCUACACAAGCUGUUUUGAAAGGAAGCCCUUUGGCACUUGUCCUGUCCUUAGAGAGCUGCUGCAGUUACUGCCUAAAGUUGGCUUUGUUGUCACUGCAGGCGCGACAGCGCGUCCUGUCCCUGUGUUAGUAGCCAGCUGUCCUUUGUGCUGCUGGCUGCCCUUGGGUGGUUCAGGUACAACGCUGAGGUGUGGCAGACUUUCAUGUGAUAGCUCCUGUGAUGAGAGACAUCGUACGUGAGAGCUCUCCCUCCACCGCCUUCCCUGGGCUGCCUGGAGCCUAGACCUGGCAGCAGUGAUUCCAUUUUGAAUCUGACAGUUUUCACUCCGGAGUAGUGGUGGUGGUGGUGGGGGGGCUGCUACUACCGCCCUCUGGUGGAUGGAGGCCAGGGUGCCGCUAAACAUCCCUCAGGACGCAGGCCGGGGCUUUUCUUAACAAAGAGUUAUCUGGCUUCAGCAUCAUUGUUUCUGGGGUAGAUAAUUCUUUUAUGAUUCUUCUUAGAGUCUAGAGGUUUGUGUGAUUUGUGUUGGCCUGGUGACCCUAAAUUAUACGCCACGAUGUGGUUGAAAGCCAGCACAUGCCAAGCCCAUCUUCACAGUGGUGUUCAAACGACAGUGUCACAGGUCAGAGAGAGCUGGUGCUCCGCAAGCCCUCUGUCUCCUCCUGACUCUUCCCAACACCUGCCUUGAGAUCAGAAUUCUCACCUGCAGUUUAUAAACACCAAAAUUGCGCACACCAUGCAACUGUGAAAAACAGGACCUAAGAAAUAGUUACAAAGCAAAAGAAAAUGGUUAAAUCCUUAGCCCUUCGCUCAUGCCCCAUAAAUACACCAGAGUCGGCCCAUACUAUCACUAGCCCUUUGGUCAUUAAAGACAAUUAAACAAGAACAAGAAGGAAACAGUCUCCAUUGUCCUCCUUGUCUUGAGCCUAUAAAACUAUAGUGCAUUUGGGACAAAGUAUUUUGCAUUUUACGACCACUUUAGACUACUACACAAGAGAAACAUUGAACAUCUUUAUCUGAUUUAUUAACUUGUACGUUGUCCAGCUUUGGCUGAUGAUUGGAGCAUGUUUGCCCUUUCCCACAUAUUAGAGCAGAAAGGGAACAGAUGUAUCUGCCUCCUUGGUGUGUUCUGAAAUGCUCAUUUACAGCUGUUAGGUCGGUGCCAUCUUCCCAGAUCUGCCCCGUUCCUGUUUCCAUAGUGACGGGGCAGUCUGACAGCUUCCUUAAAAGGUGAGUCAGUAAGAUAGAAUUUCUUGCCCUUCUAUCCUGCUUUAUAUUUUGGUCUCGGUGGCUGAGGAUGAGAGCAAGCAGAGGGCUGAGAAGAUGCCACACACAUUGGAGGAAGUAUGUGUUUAACCCAGAAGACGCGCACGUGGGUUCCCUUUUGUGUUCUAUAGUUCGCCUCGAAGGUUAUUUUCUCAUCUGUGCUAUAGCAGCCUGCAUAGAACAUCCAGACAUUCAGCCCAAUUCAGGGCAAUCAACAUUCUCCGUAAGAGUUCUGAUAUCUAUCAAGUGCCAGCAUGGAAUGUUCUCUGGUAUUAUCUGAUAAAAGAAAAUCCUCAGAACUGAACACUCCCCCACCGUGGCAGAUGUUCCGCUUUUAGUAUCCCUGUUUUUUUGCAGAUGAGGAAAUAAGGCCCAGAAAAGCUGAUAAACACACCCAGUGUCAUCUGGGUACAGAGGACUGGUGGACCUGGAAUCCAGUUCUGUCGGAUGCCAGAACCCCACGCUGGUGUUCUGAAACCAUGAAGCUCUCCUACCUCAUUAAAUACCGAUUUCAGGCCAGACCAGGGGCCGGGCUGUAAAGCUGAAUGGCACGGUGCCUUCCUUCGAGGAACUCACUGCUGAGUGAGGGAGAUGGACACACAGUCAGAUAAGUAUUGUAGCCCGGAUGUAUUGCGUGGAUGGCAUCAGCGCACAGAGCAUCUGUCCUGGACCCAUGACUCCAUUGCAGAACCUUCUCAGUGGCACCAAAGCCAGGAAAAGCAUGCCCAACUUGGCCUCUGUGCUUCUUUACCGUGUUCCGAGGCCACAGAGAGGCAGAGACCAGGUAGCACGGUGGUCUGAUGCCUCCUCAGGCGGAGAGAAAGACAGCAGAUGCCAGCUUCGGGUGAGGUCACUGUUCUUAAGGAAGACUGAUCCUUGAGGAAGCAUGGAUUUCAUACAGCAUAUUCAAGUGAAGAAUCAUCUUUCCACGGAAACAUCUGCUUUGGACCUUCCUGCAGCUGUGAACCCUGUCCUCUGGUUUCCCAGGUUCAAAACUGUCGCUCCCCCUCUUCAUGGAGGAACGACACAGGACCCUGCGCUGUUCUUUUGUCUGCUCGGCCCUCCCCGGGUUUGCUGCUGGUUCUUCCCGGGUUGGCUGCUGGUCCUUCCACCUCCGUGGAAGGGCAGUUCCCCCUGCCACAUUCCCCACUUCCACGGGGAAGCGGCACACCGCCGGCCGGCUCUCUUGGGGGCUGCACAGGUGUUCCCCUUAGAUGUUCCCCUUAGAUGUUCCUGGUGCAUGCCGUCUCUCUCCUCCUUUAUAGUCCUCUUCCACCAAUCCCAACUCUGCUACCCACACGCCAAGUACGCUGCUCUCCUCCAAUCAGGAGCAGGUCCCACAGUUUAUUGGUUGAACUGGAGGCAGCUGUGUAGAAGCUGUUUCCCUUCUCAGCGCCAUAUUGUGGGAAAGCAGAUGCAUAGAAUAAGUCUUAAUUCCAGUAACUUAGUCUAGUCCGAGUUGCUCCCAGUUGCUCCCCACACAAAACCUCGCUGUCAUUUCUGACUCUGCCUCAUUGAUUGUCCCUCACAACCCAUAGUUGUCAGGUUACAGGGAGUCUAACUCUGCAAGGUUCUGUGGGUGGCAUGCUCUCGUCUGUUCCCCCCACCGACCCCUGCCUCAAUCAUGGGGCCGCCUUCCAGUCUUCUCUUUGCCCCUCUGUCUCUUGCUUGUAAUCUAUUUUAUGUGCUUCUAUUGGCAACCCUUUCUCUGAUCACAUUCCGAUCGUGUCCCCUACUUACUCAAACCCCAGCAGGCGAUCUCGGUUACCCACCCUGGGUUACGAGCGCGUGCGUUUGGGCCCUUCCACUGACACUGAGCCAGCGAAUUCCUCAUUCCUCAAACACAUCCUGCAGAUUUUCACUGUCUUGCCUCACGCAGACCCCCAGACUCCCAUCUCUGCCGUUGACAUUCUCUCUGUUCCUCCAGCUGCACCUCCGAGAGAGCCUCACUCACAAAGCCCUUGUGUUCCCAUCAGCACCAUCCCCAGGCUCUACAGUUUUCUCACUAUCCUUGUCCUGUCCUUCCCUGUGUUACUGGUGUGAUCAUGCCUACCUGAUGGUCUUGUAACUUGUCAGUUCACUGUAGAGCCUUGUGACUGUGGAUCUGCUACAAGCAGCCACCAUGCCUUACUUCCCUCUGCCUGUUCUCCUCCCUAGCACCCAGGACUAGGCCUAGAGGACAGCAGGGACUCAUGGCUAUUUGCUGAGUCAGUCACAGCAAUGCUGGUGGGUUACCGGGUCCAGAAGAGACAACAGAUCUAUGGAAAGGACAGUGUCUGUGUAUCUGGUGCAUCUUCCUUGUGUCACUAACCACGUAGCACCUAUUUGAUAAAUCAACCUUUUGACAUCAUCA